rnacentral:lncRNA from 1 species
GAAGAAGAGGAAGAGGCUAUGCCAUCCUUGGUCCGAAGGCCGCGCAGUCGGCCUAACAUCACGCUGAUCGACGCUGGUCGGGUGACCAGUGAUCCUCCUGCUCCGCACACCGAGCCGACACGACUUGGAGGGGCAGAGGCAGCAGCGGCGACUGGGAGGACUAGGCGGAGGUUCUUUGCAGCAACGCACAGGCGCUCCGACCUGUGAGUUUUACAACUUGUCUUCUGCACUUCCUCCUACUUGUUGUUGUUUUUUGUUUUUUUUUUGCUGUGAAUUUUGACAUUGGCAUGACGUCUUCUUUUGCUAGUGUGGCAUCGGAUGUUGAUCCGGGCAACAUCGCCGGCCAGAGGACAGCCGAGCUGGCGGUUGUCAUUGAAAACGCCGCCGAGCAAACCACCCAGGAGCAGACCGAGGAGCGGCCCGCAGUUGUGACCAUGGCGGAGACUUGUCAAGGAGGACCCGGCUCAGGAGAGGACGGGGGGAGCACCCCGACAAGGGGCGAUGAGGCUGCAAGGACACCUCCCUCGAGCAGUGUCGCGGAGGAGGGAGAC